ACCUCCGUGGAGCAGUGGUAGUACGCGCCCUCGGAAAGGGUAGGACGCGGGUUCAAAUCUCGCACGGAGCUA